GACGAACGCUGGCGGCGUGCUUAACACAUGCAAGUCGAACGAAGAGCGAUGGAAGCUUGCUUCUAUCAAUCUUAGUGGCGAACGGGUGAGUAACGCGUAAUCAACCUGCCCUUCAGAGGGGGACAACAGUUGGAAACGACUGCUAAUACCGCAUACGAUCUAAUCUCGGCAUCGAGGAUAGAUGAAAGGUGGCCUCUACAUGUAAGCUAUCACUGAAGGAGGGGAUUGCGUCUGAUUAGCUAGUUGGAGGGGUAACGGCCCACCAAGGCGAUGAUCAGUAGCCGGUCUGAGAGGAUGAACGGCCACAUUGGGACUGAGACACGGCCCAGACUCCUACGGGAGGCAGCAGUGGGGAAUCUUCCGCAAUGGACGAAAGUCUGACGGAGCAACGCCGCGUGAGUGAUGACGGCCUUCGGGUUGUAAAGCUCUGCUAAUCGGGACGAAAGGCCUUCUUGCGAAUAGGGAGAAGGAUUGACGGUACCGGAAUAGAAAGCCACGGCUAACUACGUG
rnacentral:rRNA from 1 species